UCUGGGAUAUAGAGAAAUGGAAAAUAGAAGAGUUCUAACCUCAUUCUGUAUUGCAAGGGAAGGAGCUUGUCAUAUAGUCACUUGUGUUGGACCCUUGAAUGGCUCAACUCACUGUCCUCGUACAGUGAUCACUUCAAAGAAGCACGUGUUUCACUGAAUACAACCAGGGGCCCAUCUAUCUCAUGCCUCUAGCUUUUCAUCCUCCUCCCUUGAAAAUUAAGAUGCUCUACAAACUGUUUUGAGGCUGCAUCUGGAUUUAGUAAAGAGUGUUGUCAUCAAUUUUCAGCUUCUACCUUAGGUGUAGGAGGGAACUGAGGCAGCAAGCAAGUAUUUGCUCACUGUCUGCAUCUUUCCAGUAUAGAGAAUGCAUCAGAGAAAUGCCUCAACAUGUGUGGCACUGUGUAUAUAAUUUCCAACACUGCAAAAUGGAACAAGCACAAAACUUUGAAGGGACGGUCUAUGUGAUGAAAAGUUGGAACGGCUUCCAAGAGCUGAAAUACAAUGUUGUCAGUGUUUCUCCCUCACCAUGAUAUUUGAACCAAAGCUGUCUGAUAACAAAUGAAAAGCUUUCUGGGA